GUCUCAUUCUGUAUCUUCUCUCACACUCGCUGUUAUGGAGUUGUUCAUCCUCAUAGUUUUUCUGCUCCUGAUGGAGGUUCAGUCUCACCGAUAUCCUAGAGUAAAAGUAUCUCCAGAUGUCAUAAGAGAGUCCAGCGCAGUGAAGAUCAGCUGUGAGACAGAACCACGUGUUACAGUGAAUAAAUGUGAUUUCUACAUAAACAGAGAGGAGAAGAAAAUGAAAACCAGUCCAUCAUGUGAGCUCGAGCUCACUGGUGCUGAAGUGUUCAGAUGGGCAGCUGUAAAAUCACCUGAAUCACUCAACAUUAUCUGUUACUACACAGUGAUAAAUGUGCAAGGCUCAUUCAUACCAUCAUCAGAUUCUGAUCCUGCCACAGUGACAGUUCUAGUUUCAACAUCAACCACCACUGAAGAAACUACUACAACAGCCAUGAAAACCCCAUUAACUGUAAUGUCCACUUCUGAGACUACAAUAUACAGUAAAACUGUUUCAACAUCAACCACUACUGAACAAACUACUUCCACAACCAUGAAAACCCCAUUAACUGUAAUGUCCACUUCUGAGAGUACAACAUACAGUAAAACUGACCUCCAAACCAAGAUAAACCCACCAAUCAGUACAGCAAAGGAAACCAUGAAUACAUUGUUAAUAGUGCUGGUCUCCAUUGGUGUUGCUGGAAGUUUGUCUGGACUCAUGGGACUCAUCUGUCUGUGCCGGUUUGCAUGUAAAAAAAGAAGAAAACCCAUUAAAAUGAGAUCAAUAAAAACAGAUGUGCCCAUUCAAGAAACUGGUAUAAGUUGUUCUGGAUCUGCAGAGAUGUAUUCUCUGAUCACUUCUGUACCAGAAACAUCUCAGCCCAUAUCUGCAGGCCUCGAACGUCCAGAAUCACAUCUGGACAGCACAGCAGAUCCCACAAAACACAUUAUGUCUGUAAAUGUAAUUUACCAGCCCUCAGAUGUUUUGAUCAAUAAACAACAGAAACAGGGAAAUCCAGAAGAAAACGAGAAUGUUUAUAACAUGUACAGCACGAUCCCUGAAAACCAGUUCACUCAAAUGCAGGCGAUUAAUCCUACAGUUUGGUGAAGAUGUCUUGUUUCAUUAUGUACUGUACAUGCAUUGAGGUAUCUUUACUUGCAG
ensembl:lncRNA